rnacentral:rRNA from 1 species
UGGGGAAUAUUGCACAAUGGGGGAAACCCUGAUGCAGCGACGCCGCGUGAACGAAGAAGGUAUUCGUAUCGUAAAGUUCUGUCCUAUGGGAAGAUAAUGACAGUACCAUAGAAGAAAGCUCCGGCUAAAUACGUGCCAGCAGCCGCGGUAAUACGUAUGGAGCGAGCGUUGUCCGGAAUUAUUGGGCGUAAAGGGUACGCAGGCGGUUUAAUAAGUCGAAUGUUAAAGAUCGGGGCUCAACCCCGCAAAGCAUUGGAAACUGAUAAACUUGAGUAGUGGAGAGGAAAGUGGAAUUCCUAGUGUAGUGGUGAAAUACGUAGAUAUGAGGAGGAAUACCAGUAGCGAAGGGGACGUUCUGGACACAAACUGACGCUGAGGUACGAAAGCGUGGGGAGCAAACAGG